GUGGCCAGAACCCAGAGCCUCGAAGGUAGGAGACAGGGAGGAUAAAAUGGAAAGGUGGGCUGAUGCCGGCACUGACAGCUGAGGUGCAGUUGGCUGGCCUUCUGGGGGUUAGCGCUGUGCUCUAGAAAGACCCUGCUGGUGGCACUCUGGAGGCUGCACUGAUGAGCCCGGAACUGCAGACCACUUAGGGGGCUGGGGGGCACUUUGGGGGAGAAGGAAGGGUGUGAAAGCUGCCAGGUGGAAGGAGAGGUUGCUGUGCACCGGGACUAGGAUGUAACCCCUACUCGCAUCUCAGCCUGGGUUCCCAGCACUGCACAGAUCAGGGGCUCCAGUUCUCCCUCCUUGCCAAUCGUCUGUGCCUGGGGUUGGUCCAGGGUUGGUCCAGGGAUUUCCCGGGUGUCCCUCUGGGCUCUAGACAGCACAGCAGCUGUGGGUGAGUGGGGCAGAGGCCCCACCCCAGUGGCCUGGAGACCCGGCCUCAACCCUCUCAUUCUGCCCUCGCUCGCUCUGUUUCUGGUGCCACGGGGACGCCACGCCUGUAAUUACGGGGUUCGUGCGGCUGCGUGUGAAGAGGCCGCCCCAAACCACCAAGGGUGUCAGAGCUCAGCCCAGUGGCCUGGAGCAGAUCUGGGUGGUGAUGUCAGAGCCCUGCACUGCUCCUUGUCUCUGGUACCUCCUCUGGACCUGACCUUGAGUCGUUUUUCCUUAAUCUCUAGGAUUCUGGAUUUUUUUAUUUCCCCAGGGCUAGGGCUCGAACCCAGGCCUUGCACGCUGUAGACGAGCACCCUCCCGCUGAGCUCCAUCCCGGCCCCGGCUUCUGGACUCUUAACCAGCUUUGCCACCCGCCUCUGAUCCUAACAUGGAAGUGCCGACAUUCUUGUGUAACAGCAGAAGAGACAGCCCCAGGUAGGGGAGCCGAGGCAGAAGACCUCAGAAGGAGCAAGGAGGUGCUCUGGAAAGCCCUGAAGAUGAGUGAAAGGCAGACCCUGGAGGAAUCUGGGAGCCAGCAGCCAGGCAAGAGUCUGGCUGGAGAUGGUUGCUGGAGGCCAGAGAACAAAGUCUUCCUGCUCACCUCUUCCUUGCCCUCCCGAGUGUCAGGCCAUCUGUGGGACAAGGAGCAGAGGAAGAAAAUAUCGUGGGCUGCAGUUCUUAAAAACCCUGCUUCAUACCGUGGCUUUGGGAAAACAGAGAAGCUGACUGCAGGAGCUCUACCUGCUCACCCCCUGCUCCAGAUGCUCCCUCCAUGAAGACCCCUGGGAUAAACCAGUGUGGGGACCCAAAUGCCAUCACUCGUUUCUGAUGGCUCUGGAUUGCUGGCCUCUCCAGGAAGAGGAGAGGCUGGACUGAGGGUGGUAAAGAAGCCCAGAAGAGUCUGCAAAAGCCCUCAGAUGCAAAGGCCCACUCCUCCAAGCGGGGUCAGAUGCACUGGAGGUUAUAGAAUGGUACAGCCAUCCUCCCAAGGGCUCCACGAAGACUCUGCCUCAGCAAUUUCCAGAACAAAUCUGCUGUUCGUUUGAGUCAGGCAAUCACAGGCUACAGAUUCCCCAGGGGCCCAAGAAUCCAGCCACUGGCUCCUCCUGUCCUUGCAGAGCAGGACAGUUAGAUACACACAGCAGCACCGAGGUUAAACUACGACGGCCUGGCCUGGGAUGCCCCUCAGAUGCCCAGACCCCCCUCAGAGAGGGUCAGUAGGUAGCCAGGUCUCUCCAGGGCUCUCACACAAGUGGCCCGGAUGGGGACAGCUCUGCUCCAAUCCCCGGUAGCUCUCACCCUAGCCCUGCAGUGGUGGGGAGCUACGGAGCCAGGGUGGAUGUAUCCCAGGUGCUCCAGAAAGACAGCUCCUAAUUUCCCAUAUCUUCAUGGUGUCCCCACCCUCACCUGGCCAAAGUUCUGCCUGCUCAAUCUGAUCCCUUCUCCUCUUCACCCAACCCGUUCCUCUUUUUUGUUUGUUUGUUUGUUUUGAGACAGAGCCUCACUAUGUAAUUCAGGAUGGCCUGAAAUUCCUCUAACUCACGAUUAUAGCACAUGCUGGCCUUGAACUUGCAGUGAUCGUCCUGCCCCAGCCUCCCAAGUGCUGGGAUUACAGGUGGGUCCCACCUUGUCCAACCUGUUCCUCUUAUUCUGCCAGUUUACUUUAGGACUUUGCUCAUUCGUCCUCUCCAAAUGUCCCCUCUCCCUGUCUAUCUGGGUCCAUUCCAGACCUAGUUUGUAAACAUAACUGACCCGAUCCCUAAGUGCAAGCCCCCAGUCUCUCCCAGGAAGCCCAGGUUUGGCAAGUGUAGCACUCAGGGUACUGGGUCACCCCUGGAAAUGCCAGAGUCCAAAGUCUACCCAGGACUGGCAGCUCAGAUGGUUCCAGGGGCAGAAAUAACCUGAGCCUGAUGCCCUUUACUUCUUGGGAGUGACUCAGCGAGAAGCUAGCAGAUGGGACACAUCUAGCUCAGCAGAGGGGAUAAGGGGCGAGGUCAAGGCCUUAGGCUGUGCCAUAGGGAUGGGCACUCAGAACAGUCCGGGCUUUGCUCCGGGGACAAAAAGCACACAAAGAGACCGCUAGACCCCAUUUUCCACUGAGGAGCCAGGAGCAAACAAAAGGUUGGAUGACACACUCAGCUGGCAAGGGUGGGAGAAGGCACUCUCGGGCUUUGCUAGGGCUGUAAGCUGAUCCCUUCUGCCUGGAGGGCAGCUCGCCAGUGUCUGCCAAAGCACAGGUUCUUCGACCCGGCAAUUUUACUUCCAACUAUGCACACUCAUACUUUGAAAUGGUCCCGUGGUGGUGUUUGUCGCAAUGACAAAAGAUGGGAGGUGCCCUUCUUAGGGGACUGGGUCAGUGAUUGGGUACAGUGGGCAGAGUAAGGAGUGGGAGACCCCGAAGAAGGACCCCGGAGCCAGGUGGCAGAUGAAUUGUGAAGAAGAGAAACAGCGGGCUACGCUGCGCAGGUCCUCCUUGGGAGGCUGAAGAGGACGGCAAGUUCAAGGCCGGCCUGGGAAACCUAAUGUCUCAGAGAUAAGGAAGGCUAGGAGUGUAGCUCAGUGGUAGAGCCCUUGCCUGGCACGCAGGAAGUGAGAGGAAGUGGGGGAGGAAGAGGAGAGUGGAAAACCAACAAAGUGAAGGAGCUCACCAGGCUGUGGGGCUGGCAGGCUUCCAGUCUCAAUGCAGGGAGGAGAUGGCGUGCUCCGGCCGGGUGAGAGAGAGACCGCACACAGGCUUUUCUGCUCCAGUGUUGUAAGGAAUGUCCCUGAAUGGCUAGCAAGGAAAUGGGUUGCCUUGGUUUUAUAGGGACAGCUGUUUUCUCUCUAUAUAUUUUCGUGACUAAAAUUUUGACCAGGGUGGUGGUAAUCCUGGUCAUCACAGCACUUGGAAGAUUGAGGCCAAUCUGGAAGUUUGCAAGUUUAAGGCCAAUCUGGGUUACAUACAGAAACCUCCUCAUGAAAAAAGUCACCCCCCCAAAUCUUUUUGAGCUAUUGUGAGCAAGUUUC